AGCCGUCUGGGGUGUGCGUAAGCAAAUAUAGGUGUCUAACCGACUUCUUUACAAAAGGGUACCCGAUUUGAGCUUGCGGCUGUUGGAUCGUCUCGAACGAAGAACAAAAACAAGACUUAGGGAACCCACCUGCACAUGCAGGUUUAGGCAUAUAAUUGUGUACGGCAUUUUGGACUCCAU
rnacentral:other from 1 species